UAGGGAAUCUUCCGCAAUGGGCGAAAGCCUGACGGAGCAACGCCGCGUGAGUGAUGAAGGUCUUCGGAUCGUAAAACUCUGUUAUUAGGGAAGAAAAAAUGUGUAAGUAACUAUGCACGUCUUGACGGUACCUAAUCAGAAAGCCACGGCUAACUACGUGCCAGCAGCCGCGGUAAUACGUAGGUGGCAAGCGUUAUCCGGAAUUAUUGGGCGUAAAGCGCGCGUAGGCGGUUUUUUAAGUCUGAUGUGAAAGCCCACGGCUCAACCGUGGAGGGUCAUUGGAAACUGGAAAGCUUGAGUGCAGAAGAGGAAAGUGGAAUUCCAUGUGUAGCGGUGAAAUGCGCAGAGAUAUGGAGGAACACCAGUGGCGAAGGCGACUUUCUGGUCUGUAACUGACGCUGAUGUGCGAAAGCGUGGGGAUCAAACAGG
rnacentral:rRNA from 1 species